rnacentral:rRNA from 1 species
GAUGAACGCUAGCUACAGGCUUAACACAUGCAAGUCGCGGGGCAGCAUGGGGGUUGCUUGCAACUCCCGAUGGCGACCGGCGCACGGGUGAGUAACGCGUAUCCAACCUGCCCUUCACCACGGGAUAACCCGGCGAAAGUCGGACGAAUACCGUAUGUUUUCCAUUGACGGCAUCCGAUUUGGACGAAAGGCUUUGCGGUGAAGGAUGGGGAUGCGUCCGAUUAGCCAGACGGCGGGGUAACGGCCCGCCGUGGCUACGAUCGGUAGGGGUUCUGAGAGGAAGGUCCCCCACACUGGAACUGAGACACGGGCCAGACUCCUACGGGAGGCAGCAGUGGGGAAUAUUGGUCAAUGGGCGUAAGCCUGAACCAGCCAAGUAGCGUGCAGGAUGACGGCCCUAUGGGUUGUCAACUGCUUUUAUGCGGGGAUAAAGUGGCCAACGUGUGGGCUUUUGCAGGUACCGCAUGAAUAAGGACCGGCUAAUUCCGU